GCUGCUUCCACAUUUGUAGAGUCUAAAGCAGAUGUCUCGAUAAAUGACAAACCAUUCUUCUCUGCAAAAGCUCUGGCCUCAUCUGUAGGGACCGCUCUCAGAUGGCGCAAGUCACUCUUGUUUCCCACAAGCAUGAUUACAAUAUUGCUGUCUGCAUGGUCUCUCAGCUCUUUCAACCAUCUCUCUACAUUCUCGUAAGUAAGGUGCUUAGCGAUGUCAUACACCAGUAAUGCCCCUACAGCACCUCGAUAGUACGCUGAUGUUAUAGCUCGGUAUCGCUCCUGCCCUGCUGUGUCCCAUAUCUGAGCCUUUAUUGUCUUCCCAUCAACUUGAAUGCUUCUUGUUGCAAAUUCUACUCCAAUGGUGCUUUUGCUUUCCAAGUUAAACUCAUUGCGAGUGAAUCGAGACAGGAGGUUACUCUUGCCUACUCCAGAGUCUCCAAUAAGGACAACUUUGAAGAGAUAAUCGUACUCGUCGUCGCGGUUGCCCAUGGUGCAGUGUGUGGCGGAGGCCGAGGACAGGGCCGGGGACGGGAGCGGGUACCUGACCCCUCCCUGCAGCCGCCUCAGCGCUUCCGCACUCUGCC
rnacentral:lncRNA from 1 species